UGUUGGUCACAACAAUAUUCCG
rnacentral:siRNA from 1 species